rnacentral:lncRNA from 1 species
AUUGCUGGUCCAUAAAGCUGAAAUGACGAUAUUUUAGUGACCGAUAGCAGAUAUGAAACAGAUGUGUCAAUAGAUAUAGGAAGAUGUGGUAUGAACGCAAAUGAGACAACUCUCAAUCCAAGUAACAAUUUUUAAAAGUAACAAUUAUAGGCCAAGAUACGGCCUUCAACACGGAGCCUUGGCUUACAUCGAACAGCAAGAUAUAAAAGGCCCCAGAAAUUACUAGUGUUAAACCAUUCAAACGAGAAAACAAACGGGUUUAAUCUAUAUGAAAACAAAAAGCAUGGUUGAGCCGUUAGAGAAAAUGGACAAGAAGUCCUAAUUACAUACAGACAAACAAAACCUGGAGAGAAUUAAUAUAUUUUAUGGGAAAAUGACAAUGAGAAUAAUGGUCGUAGUAUUAACGUAGUCAGGUCGUGAGAAGAGCAUGAUGAGGACGGCAAGGGCGUGCUAGAAUCGUACUAUGGUCGUGAACAGCGUGG